UUUCAUCCGCUAUGUAAAUUGCCAAACUGCAAGUCUGCUUGUCUGAGAGUGUUUUAUAAACCACCGUUGUUUAUACAUGUCACUGAUGAGUUUCUCUUUUGUGGCUUGGAAUGUUACUUAUUCGAAAAAAGUGUUGCUCUCCAACUGAAGUGCCCUCGCUUCUCCUUUCUCCAAGUGGAGUGGGGUGUGACAAUGGAAGGGAGGAAGUAGACUGAGCAAUUCUUCAUCCGGCGAGAGCCACUUCCGGUCAGAACAUCAAUGACCGCCAUUUGAAUCAACAAAAGGAGCUGUAACACUGUGAGGGUCUGGUCAGCUGCUUCAUUCUUGAAGUCAGUGAGACCGCAAACCCACCAGAAGGAACCAACUCCGGACACAGAGGGACUAGAUAAUACUGGCUGAAUGAAGGAAUAUGAACAAGGCCACUUGAAUCCCUACUCUUUGGGCUUCUCCAGUAAAGUGGAUUCACUAGUAUAAGAAUGAGAGGCAUCUAUGUUCUCUAAUUUCUAAAGGUGAUUUCUAUCUUAAAAAUAAUAAUUAGAUUGAAGCACCCGGAUACCUUCUCAACCAUCAUCUUACAUGUAAAGUUCCUGGUAUAGAGCUCAGCACAUUGUCAUUCUCACAAAUGGCAGGCAACUAAAAUGAUAUAAGAUGCCCUUCUUGCAUGGCCGUAUAUCUUGAGCUUAUGGAUGAUUUAUUGCAACUGGCUGUUACUUCUCUCCCUUGAGCUCAUGGAGGGUGUCUUGGUCCUGAUUAUAUUUCAAGCUAACCUUCCCACUGUGAACUACUGGCAUCUUACUUUUUGACCCCUUGACAAGAAGAACUGGAGUUACCAAAAUGCUGUCAUUUAAGGUGUUGGAGUGGAAACCAGAACAUUACCUAUUAUCAAGAAGGGGUUUCUUCUAAGGCA
rnacentral:lncRNA from 1 species